rnacentral:rRNA from 1 species
CAGCAGCCGCGGGAAUACGAAGGGGGCUAGCGUUGUUCGGAAUUACUGGGCGUAAAGGGCGCGUAGGCGGCCAUUCAAGUUAGAUGUGAAAGCCCUGGGCUCAACCUAGGAAUUGCAUUUGAUACUGUUUGGCUUGAGUUCGGGAGAGGUGAGUGGAAUUCCCAGUGUAGAGGUGAAAUUCGUAGAUAUUGGGAAGAACACCAGUGGCGAAGGCGGCUCACUGGACCGACACUGACGCUGAGGCGCGAAAGCGUGGGGAGCAAACAGGAUUAGAUACCCGAGUAGUCCCUGUCUCUUAUAC